UACGUAGGGUGCAAGCGUUGUCCGGAAUUAUUGGGCGUAAAGAGCUCGUAGGCGGUCUGUCGCGUCGGCUGUGAAAUCCCGAGGCUCAACCUCGGGUCUGCAGUCGAUACGGGCAAACUAGAGUGUUGCAGGGGAGACUGGAAUUCCUGGUGUAGCGGUGAAAUGCGCAGAUAUCAGGAGGAACACCGAUGGCGAAGGCAGGUCUCUGGGCCACUACUGACGCUGAGAAGCGAAAGCAUGGGGAGCGAACAGG
rnacentral:rRNA from 1 species